rnacentral:rRNA from 1 species
AGCAGCCGCGGUAAUUCCAGCUCCAAUAGCGUAUAUUAAAGUUGUUGCAGUUAAAAAGCUCGUAGUUGAAUUUUGGGAUUAGUAUGCUGGUCGUGCCAUCGGUAUAUACUGGUGUUACUGGUUCCUACCUUCUGACGAACCGUCAUGUCAUUAAUUUGGUGUGGCGGGGAAUCAGGACUGUUACUUUGAAAAAUUAGAGUGUUUAAAGCAGGCUCGCGCUUGAAUACAUUAGCAUGGAAUAAUGAAAUAGGACGUUCGAUCCUAUUUUGUUGGUUUCUAGGAUUGACGUAAUGAUUAAUAGGGAUAGUUGGGGGCAUUAGUAUUCAAUUGUCAGAGGUGAAAUUCUUGGAUUUAUUGAAGACUAACUACUGCGAAAGCAUUUGCCAAGGAUGUUUUCAUUAAUCAAAACGAAGUUAGGGGAUCGAAGACGAUCAGAUACCGUCGUAGUCUUAACCAUAAACUAUGCCGACUAGGGAUCGGAUGAUGUUAUUUUUAAUGACUCAUUCGG